CCCUUAGAUGUUCUGGGCCGCACGCGCGCUACACUGAUGCAUUCAACGAGCCUAUCCUUGACCGACAGGUCCGGGUAAUCUUUGAAUCUGCAUCGUGACGGGGAUAGAUUAUUGCAAUUAUUAAUCUUCAACGAGGAAUGCCUAGUAGGCGCAAGUCAUCAGCUUGCGUCGAUUACGUCCCCGCCCUUUGUACACACCGCCCGUCGCUCCUACCGAUUGGGUGUGCUGGUGAAAUGUUCGGAUCGGCCGUUUGUCGCGGUUUCCGCGUCAUGUGGCUGAGAAGUUCAUUAAACCCUCCCACCUAGAGGAAGGAGAAGUCGUAACA
rnacentral:rRNA from 1 species